UACGUAGGGGGCAAGCGUUGUCCGGAUUUAUUGGGCGUAAAGAGCGUGUAGGCGGCUUUACAGGUCCGUUGUGAAAACUCGAGGCUCAACCUCGAGACGCCGGUGGAAACCGUAAAGCUAGAGUCCGGAAGAGGAGAGUGGAAUUCCUGGUGUAGCGGUGAAAUGCGCAGAUAUCGGGAGGAACACCCGUGGCGAAAGCGGCUCUCUGGGACGGUACUGACGCUGAGACGCGAAAGCGUGGGGAGCGAACAGG
rnacentral:rRNA from 1 species